GACGGAGGAUGCAAGCGUUAUCCGGAAUGAUUGGGCGUAAAGCGUCCGCAGGUGGCAGUUCAAGUCUGCUGUCAAAGACCGGGGCUUAACUUCGGAAAGGCAGUGGAAACUGAACAGCUAGAGUAUGGUAGGGGCAGAGGGAAUUCCUGGUGUAGCGGUGAAAUGCGUAGAUAUCAGGAAGAACAUCAGUGGCGAAGGCGCUCUGCUGGACCAUAACUGACACUCAGGGACGAAAGCUAGGGGAGCGAAUGGG
rnacentral:rRNA from 1 species